rnacentral:rRNA from 1 species
UCAAGCUACAAAGGGCGCAUGGUGAAUGCCUUGGCAUCAGGAGCCGAUGAAGGACGUGAUAAGCUGCGAUAAGCUUCGGGUAGGCGCACAUAGCCUGAGAUCCGAAGAUCUCCGAAUGAGGAAACUCACAUGGGAAACCCCAUGUAUCAUUAAGUGAAUACAUAGCUUAAUGAAGGUAACCCAGGGAACUGAAACAUCUAAGUACCUGGAGGAAGAGAAAGAAAAAUCGAUUUUCUUAGUAGCGGCGAGCGAAAGGGAAAGAGCCCAAACCGGAAACUUGUUUCCGGGGUUGUGGACAGAACAUAACGAUUGGUAGGACGUAAUCGAAGAGAACUGGAAAGUUCCACCGUAGAAGGUAAUAGUCCUGUAGAUGAAACGGGAAAUCAAUCAGUUCUGAUCCAGAGUACCACGAGACACGUGAAACCUUGUGGGAAGCAGGGAGGACCACCUCCCAAGGCUAAAUACUACCUGAUGACCGAUAGUGAAGCAGUACCGUGAGGGAAAGGUGAAAAGAACCCCGGGAGGGGAGUGAAAUAGAACCUGAAACCGUGUGCCUACAACCGCUCAGAGCCCCUUAUGAGGGUGAUGAGGUGCUUUUUGUAGAACGAGCCAACGAGUUACGGUAUGUAGCAAGGUUAAGUACUUAAGGUACGGAGCCGAAGGGAAACCGAGUCUGAAUAGGGCGACUAGUUGCAUGCCGUAGACCCGAAACCGGGUGACCUAUCCAUGGCCAGGUUGAAGCGAGGGUAAAACCUCGUGGAGGACCGAACCACGUUGCUGUUGAAAAAGCAUGGGAUGAGCUGUGGAUAGCGGAGAAAUUCCAAUCGAACCCGGAGAUAGCUGGUUCUCUCCGAAAUAGCUUUAGGGCUAGCGUCGAGUAUGAGUAGUGGAGGUAGAGCACUGAAUGGGCUAGGGGGCAUAGCGCUUACCGAACCUUAUCAAACUCCGAAUGCCACAUACUUUUAGCUCGGCAGUCAGACUACGAAUGAUAAGAUCCGUGGUCAAAAGGGAAACAGCCCAGAUCGUCAGCUAAGGUCCUAAAGUGUAAGUUAAGUGGGAAAGGAUGUGAGAUUUCUAAGACAACUAGGAUGUUGGCUUAGAAGCAGCCAUUCAUUAAAAGAGUGCGUAAUAGCUCACUAGUCGAGAGAUCUUGCGCCGAAAAUGUAACGGGGCUAAACUUACCACCGAAGCUACGGGCUUGAACUUAGUUCAAGCGGUAGGAGAGCGUCGUAACCGGGCUGAAGUCGUACCGUAAGGAGCGGUGGACUGGUUACGAGUGAGAAUGUUGGCAUCAGUAGCGAGAUGUGGGUGAGAAUCCCACAGGCCGAAAACCUAAGGUUUCCUCAGGAAGGUUCGUCCGCUGAGGGUUAGUCGGGACCUAAGCCGAGGCCGAAAGGCGUAGGUGAUGGACAACUGGUUGAUAUUCCAGUACCACUACUAUCGUUAUUAUCGAUGGCGUGACGCAGGAGGAUAGUGUGUGCUAGCUAUUGGAUGCUAGUCUAAGCGUUUAGGCAGUGAGAGUAGGCAAAUCCGCUCUCAUAAUGCUGAGGCGUGAUGGGGAAGGUUCUACGGAACCGAAGUACAUGAUUCCACGCUGCCAAGAAAAGCAUCUAGAGAGAGAAGUAGUGCCCGUACCGCAAACCGACACAGGUAGGUGAGGAGAGAAUCCUAAGGCCGGCGGAAGAAUUACAGUUAAGGAACUCGGCAAAUUGACCCCGUAAGUUCGCGAGAAGGGGUGCCUACGAGAGUAGGCCGCAGAGAAUAGGCCCAAGCAACUGUUUAGCAAAAACACAGGUCUCUGCUAAAGCGUAAGCUGAUGUAUAGGGGCUGACGCCUGCCCGGUGCUGGAAGGUUAAGGGGAACACUUAGCGUAAGCGAAGGUGUGAACUUAAGCCCCAGUAAACGGCGGCCGUAACUAUAACGGUCCUAAGGUAGCGAAAUUCCUUGUCAGGUAAGUUCUGACCCGCACGAAUGGCGUAAUGACUUGGGCACUGUCUCAACUGUAAAUCCGGCGAAGUUGUAGUGCGAGUGAAGAUGCUCGCUACCCGCGAUUGGACGGAAAGACCCCGUAGAGCUUUACUGUAGCUUAGCAUUGAGUUUUGGUAUUGUCUGUACAGGAUAGGUGGGAGACUAGGAAACCAGGGCGUCAGCCUUGGUGGAGUCAAUCUUGGGAUACCACCCUGACAGUACUGAAAUUCUAACUGGCGGCCAUGAAUCUGGUCACAGGACAUUGUUAGGUGGGCAGUUUGACUGGGGCGGUCGCCUCCUAAAAAGUAACGGAGGCGCCCAAAGGUUCCCUCAGAACGGUCGGAAAUCGUUCGAAGAGUGCAAAGGCAGAAGGGAGCCUGACUGCGACACCCACAAGUGGAGCAGGGACGAAAGUCGGGCUUAGUGAUCCGGUGGUACCUCGUGGGAGGGCCAUCGCUCAACGGAUAAAAGCUACCUCGGGGAUAACAGGCUGAUCUCCCCCAAGAGUCCACAUCGACGGGGAGGUUUGGCACCUCGAUGUCGGCUCGUCGCAUCCUGGGGCUGAAGUAGGUCCCAAGGGUUGGGCUGUUCGCCCAUUAAAGCGGCACGCGAGCUGGGUUCAGAACGUCGUGAGACAGUUCGGUCCCUAUCCGUCGCGGGCGUAGGAAAUUUGAGAGGAGCUGUCCUUAGUACGAGAGGACCGGGAUGGACUGACCUCUGGUGUACCAGUUGUUCCGCCAGGAGCACAGCUGGGUAGCUAAGUCGGGAAUGGAUAAACGCUGAAAGCAUCUAAGCGUGAAGCCAACCUCAAGAUGAGAUUUCCCAUGGCAUAAGCUAGUAAGAUCCCUUGAAGAACACAAGGUUGAUAGGUCGGGGGUGUAAGCAUGGUAACAUGUUCAGCUGACCGAUACUAAUAGAUCGAGGGCUUGACCAA